GCCUGGGUGGCUCAGUCGGUUGAGCAUCUGACUUGGGCUCAGGUCAUGAUCUCGCGGUUUGUGAGUUCGAGCCCCGUGUUGGGCU
rnacentral:tRNA from 1 species